UACGGGGGGGCAAGCGUUGUUCGGAAUUACUGGGCGUAAAGGGUUCGUAGGUGGCCAACUAAGUCAUACGUGAAAUCCCUCAGCUUAACUGGGGAACUGCGUCCGAUACUGGAUGGCUUGAGUUUGGGAGAGGGAUGCGGAAUUCCAGGUGUAGCGGUGAAAUGCGUAGAUAUCUGGAGGAACACCGGUGGCGAAGGCGGCAUCCUGGACCAACACUGACACUGAGGAGCGAAAGCCAGGGGAGCAAACGGG
rnacentral:rRNA from 1 species